AUUGCCAGAAUAGAAUCCAGUUUUAGGAUAAAGUUGACACUGAGGAUGGUAAAGCAGGAAGAUGGAAGGAAAUUGAGUCCUUGAAGGUAUUCACUGAAUUACUGGAUCAACUAUACAUCAGGGAUUUAGUUAAGUGAGAAAAGAAAUCCUCUUUUUGUUUAAAGCCAGUUUGCAUUGGGUUUUCUGUUUUUUUUUUUUCCAGCACAAAGUCUUACCUAAUAUGUUCAUAAAUCAAUGGAAAAAACAAUAAAUGGCCAUAUGUAAUCGAGUGCUAGAUAUACUGAAGACAAACCACCAGCAGCAUUAGCAUUACUGGAGAACUUGACAGAAAUGCAAAUUUUCAGCCCCUCACCCCAGGUUAACUGCCUUGGUCUGUCUGGGGGUGGCGCCCAGUAACCUUUGUUUUAACAUGCCUUGCAGGGGACUCUGUUGCUGGCUAAAGUUUGAAAAACUACCCUGGAAGUUUAAAAUGGAAAAGAAGACUUCACAGGGAAGGUGAGAUGAACUAAAUCCAGGAGCAAGAUGGCCUUUUGAAAAGAAGACUUAUGAACCAGAAUGAAUAAAGGCACAGAGGUUCAUUUUCAAUCAUGAAAUGCACUGCUGGCCUUCAGUGUGAGUUGUUUGAAGCUAAAGGAAGAUAUGUAGUCUGACAAACCCUGCCGUGCCUUUGGUUGAAGUAUUUAACAAGAGAUGAGGCCCUGCUACAGCCGACAUACUCACGAGACAACUGACAGGACAGUUCUUGGAGCGGGAAGAGGCGCCAACAGGCCUUGGACCUGGGGCCAAUGGAUCUCUCUACUCAUACAGUCUGGUGCAGAACCCUGGCGUAUUUGAGAAUUCAAAAUCUGAAUCUGGCCCGCAAUGAUGUUAUGAAUGGUACUUUUUAAGGAUUGUCAGGCUGCUCCAGCAUAAGAGCCAGCUGCUGCCCAAGCACGUGGACAAACAUGGGAACACGCUUCAAAUCUUUCACAGGUAUAAUUUUUCACUAUCUGCUAAACACGCUAGUUCACUAUCUGCUAAAAUCUAGCCGUUGAUUAUCUCCUUCCUGUCUGACCCUUUGUUUGAUUCUUUUGCUAUGGUUCCAGAAUUAAAUUUCAGUUGAUACUGUUGUGGUAAAUUUCAUGUCGAACUUUCACUCUCUGUAAUGUUUUCUAUUUUUCACCUUGCCAGACCUAAAUGAAAUUUUUCAUCCUUUUUCUAUUAAAACAGCUGUGACCCUUUCUCUGAAUAUAAAUUUGUUAACUUUGGAGUUGCCAAAUCUUGAAGACAUCUGUAUGUGUCUUUCCAUUUACACUAUUAAUUUGUUUAUAAACAUGUAGUGUGUGUACAGUAGUUCUUUACCAGAGUAUCGGAACUACUAUGCCAGGAUUGGAUUCCUAGUUCUGCCACUUCACUAUCUCUGUGACUUUUGGCAAAUUAGUUUUCUUAUCUGCAUCUCAGUUUUAUAAUCUAUAUUGGGGUUGAUUAUGAUAAUGAUGGAUAGUUACCGAGUUUUGUUACUUGUCAUUUAAAUCCUAUAAUAGGAAAAUAGUACCUACCGCUUUAGGUUGUGGUUAGUAUUAAGUGAGUUAAAUUUAUUGUGAAUAGAAUAAUAUCUGAACAGAAGUGCACAGUAAAUAUUAGGAAU
rnacentral:lncRNA from 1 species